GUUUUUUUGUUUAUAUAAAAGAUUUGACCUGCCCAAUGAUUCAAUGUUUAAUGGCUGCAGUAUUUUGACUGUACAAAGGUAGCAUAAUCACUUGUCCUUUAAUUGAGGUCUAGUAUGAAUGGUUCGAUGAAAAAUAUACUUUCUUUCUUUUAUAAUUAAAACUUAAUUUUUCAGUUAAAAAGCUGAAAUAUUAUUAUAGGACGAGAAGACCCUAUAGAACUUUAUUUUUUAUUUUUUAUAUUUAAUAUGGAAAAUAUUUUAAAUAUAUAAAAGUUAAAUUUUGUUGGGGUGACAGAAAAAUUCUCAUAACUUUUUUUGCUUUUAUCAUUUUAAGUGAAUAGUUGAUCCUUUACUAUGGAUAAAAGAUUAAGUUACCUUAGGGAUAACAGCGUUAUUGUUCUGAAGAGUUCAUAUCGAUAGAACAGUUUGCGACCUCGAUGUUGGAUUAUAAUAAGAUAUAGGAGUAGAAUAUUAUAUUCUAGGUCUGUUCGACCUUUAAACUUUUACA
rnacentral:rRNA from 1 species